rnacentral:misc_RNA from 1 species
GUGAAUCAUCGAAUCUUUGAACGCAAAUUGCACUCCCUGCUAUUCCGGGGAGGAUGCCUGUCUGAGGGUCGUUAGAGGAAAAAUCGAAGCCUCCCUCUUUUUUUGAGGGUGAUCGCGUCGGAAUUGAGCCGUCUUUCAAAUGUUAAUUCAUGUCAAAGUGGCUUAAAAUUCAUCCACCCGGAACGAUUAAAGCGUAUUUAAGAUCAAUUUUGAUUAAGAACUCGCUAUGACGUACAGUUUCAU